UUGAACGCUGGCGGCAUGCCUUACACAUGCAAGUCGAACGGCAGCACGGGUGCUUGCACCUGGUGGCGAGUGGCGAACGGGUGAGUAAUACAUCGGAACAUGUCCUGUAGUGGGGGAUAGCCCGGCGAAAGCCGGAUUAAUACCGCAUACGAUCUACGGAUGAAAGCGGGGGACCUUCGGGCCUCGCGCUAUAGGGUUGGCCGAUGGCUGAUUAGCUAGUUGGUGGGGUAAAGGCCUACCAAGGCGACGAUCAGCAGCUGGUCUGAGAGGACGACCAGCCACACUGGGACUGAGACACGGCCCAGACUCCUACGGGAGGCAGCAGUGGGGAAUUUUGGACAAUGGGCGAAAGCCUGAUCCAGCAAUGCCGCGUGUGUGAAGAAGGCCUUCGGGUUGUAAAGCACUUUUGUCCGGAAAGAAAUCCUUGGCCCUAAUACGGUCGGGGGAUGACGGUACCGGAAGAAUAAGCACCGGCUAACUACGUG
rnacentral:rRNA from 1 species